rnacentral:rRNA from 1 species
UACAGGGGGUGCGAGCGUUGCUCGGAAUCACUGGGCGUAAAGCGUAUGCAGGCGGUCGAACAAGUCAGGUGUGAAAGCCCAGGGCUCAACCCUGGAACUGCGCCCGAUACUGUUCGACUCGAGUGCGGGAGAGGGAAGCGGAAUUCCUGGUGUAGAGGUGAAAUUCGUAGAUAUCAGGAGGAACACCAGUGGCGAAAGCGGCUUCCUGGCCCGAUACUGACGCUCAAGUACGAAAGCGUGGGGAGCAAACAGG